ACUGCACUGCAAGCACUUCUUAC
rnacentral:miRNA from 1 species